UAAAAAAAAAAACUUGUACCUGACUUUCCACCAGCUUGAGGAGAUAAUGACUGCUUUUCUUAAAUUUUGGGGUGAACUAAUCCUUUAACUUCGAUGCUUCCAAAUAUUCAUUUUGAGUGGGGAGCAGCGCAAACACAGGCUGAAUCAUACAACAACAAAAACACGAAUCCUCACAAAAGUGUCAGGAGAUCUUCGUGAUGUCGUGUCCGCCACCACCUGUCUGUCCUCGGGCACCUCCUGGCAUUCAAACGCAAAAAAAAAACAAAAAACAAAAAAACAAUGCGUGUACUCCCCCAAUCCUCCCUCCUCCCCCGCCAAUCUGUUUAAUCGAUCAGCCUCGGACGACCUGUGACACUAACUAGAUUACCAAUUCACACAUCACUCGCUUCUCUGCAGGUCUAAUCGGUCCUGACAGAAACAGAGCCCGGAGCCCUCCUCCCACGCGCCUUCUCCAGCCCACUCCUCUCUUUAUCUGGGAGCUCCUCCGCUCCGAUCCUCAGAGCAGCAGGCGCCCCGGUCAGCGCAGCUCUCUCCUGCAUCCGCGGAGAGGACUGGACUCGGUCGCCUUGUUGCACCAUCAACAGUUUCUUUCUGGAUUUUUUUUAUCCCUCCCGGCCGCCAACAUGAGACUUGUUUGGGUUUUUGUUGCGGUUGCGGCUUUGCUCACAGAAAAUCAAGCGCUUCCAGUGGCAAAAGAAGGACAGAGAGAAGAUGUGGUAACACGAUGCUUGGUUGAAGUCUUGUCCAAAGCUCUCUCCAAACCGGACUCCCAGCUGGAUCAGCAAUGCAAAGAAAUCCUCCAAGCAGGGGUUAAAAACGCUCCACUGGACAAAAAGACUACGGAGGGGACGGCGACCAAUGGAGAGGCGGUCAGAGGUCACCCCGAGGGGACUGAGGCAAAGGGAGCAGACGUUAAAGACAUCGAGGCUCUCCUGAAAUCUGUCGAGGAAAAACGAGAAAUCCCAGAAGACGAGCGCAGCCAAGAGUCCUGGAGCCUGGGCGACGAGAAGGACAAGAGACACGAGGACGAGGCGGAUGAAGCAGAGCGGGAGAAGAGAAGCGGCUGGAGGCCCGGAAGACACCACCAACAACGGGCGCACAAACGAGGGGAAGAGGAAGAAGAGGAAGACAACCAGCGCAGUCAGGAGAGCUGGGGGCUGGAGAAGAGGAGGUUAGACGAAGAGGAGGAAGACAAGGAGAAGAGGAACUGGAGACCCGGAAGAUACCACCAAAGGAAACAAAAACGAGAUGAGGAAACUUUAGGAGAUGAGAGGGAGGAGCCCGAGGAAGAACGUAGCCAAGAGUCCUGGGACAUAGCCAAAAGGCACGGGACCACGCAUCGCUACCUACACAAGACAAAGCUCCACAAACGUGGCGAGGAGGAUGAAGACGGCGAGCGCAGCCAGGAAUAUUGGGGCCUUGACGACGAGAGGGACAAGAGGGACUGGAGGGCCGGAAGGUUCCACCAGAGGAGACACAAACGUGACGAAGAGCUUGCAGAAGAACCAAGAGAAGAACCAGAAGAGGAACGCAGCCAGGAAUCCUGGGACUUUGAUACUGGAAAAAACAAGCGCGAUUGGAGGGCUGGAAGGUUCCACCAGAGGAGACACAAGCGUGACGAAGAGCUCUCUGAGGAAGCCAGAGAAGAACCCGAUGAGGAACGCAGCCAGGAAUCCUGGGACUUUGAUACUGGAAAAAACAAGCGCGAUUGGAGGGCUGGAAGGUUCCACCAGAGGAGGCACAAGCGUGACGAAGAGCUCUCCGAGGAAGCCAGAGACGAACCCGAUGAAGAACGCAGCCAGGAAUCCUGGGACUUUGAUACUGGAAAAAACAAGCGCGAUUGGAGGGCUGGAAGGUUCCACCAGAGGAGGCACAAGCGUGACGAAGAGCUCUCAGAGGAAGCCAGAGACGAACCCGAUGAGGAACGCAGCCAAGAAUCAUGGGACUUUGAUACUGGAAGGGACAAGAGAGACUGGAGGGCCGGCAGAUUCCACCAGAGGAGACACAAGCGUGACGAAGAGCUCUCCGAGGAAGCCAGGGAUGAACCGGACGAGGAACGCAGCCAAGAAUCAUGGGACUUCGAUACUGGAAGGGACAAGAGAGACUGGAGGGCCGGCAGAUUCCACCAGAGGAGACACAAGCGUGACGAAGAGCUCUCCGAGGAAGCCAGGGACGAACCGGACGAGGAACGCAGCCAAGAAUCAUGGGACUUCGAUACUGGAAGGGACAAGAGAGACUGGAGGGCCGGCAGAUUCCACCAGAGGAGACACAAGCGUGACGAAGAGCUCUCAAAAGAACCAAGAGAAGAACCAGAUGAGGAACGCAGCCAAGAAUCAUGGGACUUUGAUACUGGAAGGGACAAGAGAGACUGGAGGGCCGGCAGAUUCCACCAGAGGAGACACAAGCGUGAUGAAGAGCUCUCAGAGGAGGCCAGAGAUGAACCAGACGAGGAACGCAGCCAAGAAUCAUGGGACUUUGAUACUGGAAGGGACAAGAGAGACUGGAGGGCCGGCAGAUUCCACCAGAGGAGACACAAGCGUGACGAAGAGCUCUCAAAAGAACCAAGAGAAGAACCAGAUGAAGAACGCAGCCAGGAAUCAUGGGACUUUGAUACUGGAAGAGACAAAAGAGAAUGGAGGGCCGGCAGAUUCCACCAGAGGAAACACAAGCGUGACGAAGAGCUCUCAGAGGAGGCCAAAGAAGAACCGGACGAGGAGCGCAGCCAGGAAUCCUGGGGACUGGACAAAAGAAACGAAGCUCUGAGGUAUCUGGCAGAGAAACGCAAUCCCUGGAUUUUCAGAGGCUAUUACCAUCCUGCGUGGUAUAAGAGGGAUUCAGAUGAGAAUGCUGCAACCUCAAAUAAGAUGGACCAACUGGCCAAGUUGCUGAGCUACAAGAUAAACCAGCUGGCAAACCACUCGAAUCCAGAGGAGGCAAAGAGGAGCACGCAACAGAAAACCCUCACUGCACAGGAGGAGAAAGAGCUGCAGAACCUCGCAGCGAUGGACAUGGAGUUGCAGAAAAUCGCUGCCAAAUUGCAUGACAACAGUGCGUAA
rnacentral:lncRNA from 1 species